UGGCCCUCACUUUGUUUACAAAGCAGUAUAAUUGGUUUAAGCCUCGCGGCUAGGGAAAGAGGAAAAUAGGGCGGGUGUGUGUGUGACCCCCUUUGGAAAAGGAAAAAAAGAGAAAGAAAAGAAAAGGAAAAAAAAGAAGAAAAGGAAAAAUAGGCGGUGCCUUGGAGGACAGGCCAGGGCUCUGGACCCAAAGAGCUGUGCUGCGGGAGAAGGACCUGGGUGGUGGCAUCAGAGCUACAGCGCAAGGAUCGUGCUCGCUGAAUGACCCCGAGUUCCCUCCUAGAGGUGCUCACCACCCCCUGGACCUUACUACGACUCCGCUCUUGGUCCACUUGGCUCCUUUGCUCCCCUCAUCCUGAUUCUUGACCCAAAGUUCAACCCUGGAAGACUACCCCUACUUCCCGGCCUUCGGGGCUUGGAGAGGGGAAAAGCCCCACUUUUGCCUCGUCACUAGAAACCCAGUCAUCUGAGUCAGCCGAGCAAAGUGACGUUAGGCCGACCUGGGCUCCUGGCGAGCAGAACGGAGGCGCUGCCACGAAACUCGUACCUGCGGCUAAGAGCAGCUGUCGCCAGGUUUCAGAAAGUCCGGGGGAGUCCGUGAUCCAGGCUUGUCCGUCCGCAGCCGGAUGUCUAAGCCGGAGCUGCUCCCCACCUGGCCUCGCCCCGCGGGCGACAAAACCGUCAGUCUGGCCGCGAGAGAGCUUCACCUUGCCAAGAUCAACUCACAUUUUCAUGUAUUCAAAUGAGAAAUGUUGGGAAGAACUACUUGCCUCUGGGCAAUCCACAGCCUUGGAAGGAAAAGUUAAGUCUCCCAUCUUCCCUAGAGAAAAAUUACUUGCAUCCCUGCAGGAGCGCUCACUGUUCCUCUCCGGCACCUCCCGACCCCAGGCCGCAU
rnacentral:lncRNA from 1 species